rnacentral:rRNA from 1 species
UACGAAGGGGGCUAGCGUUGCUCGGAAUUACUGGGCGUAAAGGGCGCGUAGGCGGCCAGUUAAUUCAGAGGUGAAAGCCCAGGGCUCAACCCUGGAAUUGCCUUUGAUACCGGCUGUCUUGAGUAUGGGAGAGGUGAGUGGAACUCCGAGUGUAGAGGUGAAAUUCGUAGAUAUUCGGAAGAACACCAGUGGCGAAGGCGACUCACUGGCCCAUUACUGACGCUGAGGCGCGAAAGCGUGGGGAGCAAACAGG